GAGUUUGAUCUUGGCUCAGAGUGAACGCUGGCGGUAGGCCUAACACAUGCAAGUCGAACGGCAGCACAGUAAGAGCUUGCUCUUAUGGGUGGCGAGUGGCGGACGGGUGAGGAAUACAUCGGAAUCUACUUUUUCGUGGGGGAUAACGUAGGGAAACUUACGCUAAUACCGCAUACGACCUACGGGUGAAAGCAGGGGAUCUUCGGACCUUGCGCGAUUGAAUGAGCCGAUGUCGGAUUAGCUAGUUGGCGGGGUAAAGGCCCACCAAGGCGACGAUCCGUAGCUGGUCUGAGAGGAUGAUCAGCCACACUGGAACUGAGACACGGUCCAGACUCCUACGGGAGGCAGCAGUGGGGAAUAUUGGACAAUGGGCGCAAGCCUGAUCCAGCCAUACCGCGUGGGUGAAGAAGGCCU
rnacentral:rRNA from 1 species